AAAAGUUACUUAAGAGCAUAUGAUGAAUGCCUUGACGAACUGUGCCGAUGAAGGACGUAGAAGGCUGCGAAAAGCCUCGGGGAGCUGCCAAUCAAGCUUUGAUCCGGGGAUAUCCGAAUGGGGGAACCCAGCGCGAGUCAUGUCGCGUUACCCUAUAGUGAAUACAUAGCUAUAGUGGCGGGCACCAGGGGAACUGAAACAUCUCAUUACCCUGAGGAAAAGAAAUCAACCGAGAUUCCCUUAGUAGCGGCGAGCGAAAAGGGAUCAGCCAAAACUUAUCCGUUUCCUUUGAUUUAUCAGAGGUUACCUCAAUAAUUACGGAGAGGGUUGCGAGAUUGUAGAUGACCAUAUAAUAGCGUGUAAGUCUUUAAACACUUAUACGGUAUUAUAUGCGACCACCGAUGAGGAUCGAGUGGAUAAAGUAAAAAAAUGAAAAGCUUAGAGGAAGGCGCCUGGAAAGGACCACCACAGAGCGUGAAAGUCGCGUACUUAAAAAACUUUUCGUCUUUAUAUCUACUUUACUCAAGUAGGACGGGGCACGUGUAACCCUGUCUGAAUCUGGGAGGACCACCUUCCAAGGCUAAUUACACAGUUCGAUCGAUAGUGUACAAGUACCGUGAGGGAAAGGUGAAAAGAACCCCGUAAGGGGAGUGAAAUAGAAUCCUGAAAUCAUAUGCUUACAAUGAGUCGGAGCAGAUUUAUUCUGUGACGGCGUGCUUUUUGUAGAACGAUCCAGCGAGUUACGAUGUGUGGCAAGGUUAAGGUGUAUACGCACCGGAGCCAUAGUGAAAGCGAGCCUUAAAUGGGCGAUGGGAUCUGCUUUGUGAUAAUUUUUGAAAUAAUAAAGUUAUUAGAAAGCAGAUCCCGAUUAGUCGCAUGUCGUAGACCCGAAACCAGGUGACCUAACCAUGGGCAGGCUGAAGCGCAGGUAAAACUGCGUGGAGGGCCGAACCACCGCCAGCUGCAAAUGGCUUGGAUGAGCUGUGGUUAGCGGAGAAAUUCCAAUCGAACCUGGAGAUAGCUGGUUCUCCUCGAAAUAGCUUUAGGGCUAGCGUCAUAAACUACCUCUCAGGGGUAGAGCACUGAAUGGGUAGUGGGCCACUUUGUGGUACUGCGCUCAAUCAAACUCCGAAUACUGAGAGAGACUAUUAUGGCAGUCAGAACACGGGAGCUAAGUUUCGUGCUCGAAAGGGAAACAGCCCAGAUCGCCGUCUAAGGCCCCCAAGUCAUAGCUAAGUGGGAAACGAGGUG
rnacentral:rRNA from 1 species